GCUUGUCUCAAAGAUUAAGCCAUGCAUGUCUAAGUAUAAAUAGUAUACAGUGAAACUGCGAAUGGCUCAUUAAAACAGUUAUAGUUUAUUUGAUAAUGGAAAGCUACAUGGAUAACCGUGGUAAUUCUAGAGCUAAUACAUGCGUUCAAGCCCGACUUUUCGGAAGGGCUGUAUUUAUUAGAUAUCAAGCCAAUAUUCCUUCGGGUCUAUUGUGGUGAAUCAUAGUAACUGAUCGAAUCCCUUUUUGGGAUAAAUCAUUCAAGUUUCUGCCCUAUCAGCUUUCGAUGGUAGUGUAUUGGACUACCAUGGCAGUCACGGGUAACGGAGAAUUAGGGUUCGAUUCCGGAGAGGGAGCCUGAGAAACGGCUACCACAUCUAAGGAAGGCAGCAGG
rnacentral:rRNA from 1 species